UGUGCUGUGACUGGUGACUCUGUUCUGUGUGGCAUAGCACUGACUGCCGUUUAUUUUAGUUUAGUAUUUUAUAUUUUAGUCAUAUUGAUUUUAUUGUUUUUAUUAUUUUAGAUUUGAGUUGUGUAGUUUUAGGAUUUUAACAUUCUGUCUUCUUCUGUUCCUAGUAUUGUGGCUGGUGGGAACCCCCAUUCAACGGUGUGGCUGAAAUGCUGGGAGUUCACUUUAGAUGGUGAUAUGGUUUGUGGUUGCACAUUGAAUUAGUGUGGUGUGUUUAUUUGAAGUGUUGGGUUUAUAUUUAUUUUGAA